UGGUGGAGUGAUUUGUCUGGUUAAUUCCGAAUUUAUUAUAAAUACAAACGAACGAGACCUCAGCCUGCUAAAUAGUCGCCUGUCUUUCUCCGUACUUGUACGAACCGAGACUUGCGUACUUCUUAGAGGGACUUUGUGUGCAACCAGAAAGGAAGUUUGAGGCAAUAACA
rnacentral:rRNA from 1 species